rnacentral:rRNA from 1 species
AACGAACGCUGGCGGCAGGCCUAACACAUGCAAGUCGAGCGAGGACUUCGGUUCUAGCGGCGGACGGGUGAGUAACGCGUGGGAACGUGCCCCUUGGUACGGAAUAGCCCCGGGAAACUGGGAGUAAUACCGUAUGAGCUCUACGAAGGAAAGAUUUAUCGCCAAGGGAUCGGCCCGCGUUGGAUUAGGUAGUUGGUGGGGUAAUGGCCUACCAAGCCGACGAUCCAUAGCUGGUUUGAGAGGAUGAUCAGCCACACUGGGACUGAGACACGGCCCAGACUCCUACGGGAGGCAGCAGUGGGGAAUCUUAGACAAUGGGCGCAAGCCUGAUCUAGCCAUGCCGCGUGAGCGAUGAAGGCCUUAGGGUUGUAAAGCUCUUUCAGCUGGGAAGAUAAUGACUGUACCAGCAGAAGAAGCCCCGGCUAACUCCGUGCCAGCCGCCGCCGUAAUAC